CCCCUAGCAGAGCACUGGUCACUGGUCUCUGGAGUUAAAUUGGAGGUGGGGUUGGGGGACCUGAGUUGAUGCAUUCAUGCAUCCAUCGAUCCAUCCAUCCAUUGAUCCAAAUCUUUUUUUUCUUUUUUUUUUUUUUUUGAGAUGGAGUCUCGCUUUCUCACCCAGGUGGAGUGCGGUGGCACAAUCUCGGCUUACUGCAACCUCCGCCUCUCGGGUUCAAGUGAUUCUCCUGCCUCAGCCUCCGGAGUAGCUGGAACUACAGGCGCCCACCACCAUGCCUGGCUAAUUUUUGUAUUUCAGUAGAGACAGGGUUUCACCAUAUUGGCCAGGGUGGUCUCAAACUCCUGACUUUGUGAUCCUCCCACCUCGGCCUCCCAUAGUGCUGGGAUUACAGGCUUGAGCCACUGUGCCCGGCCCAUCCAUCCAAAUCUUUACUGAGUACUUACUGUAUACCAAGUGCCACAUCAAGUGCUGGGGAUAAAGAUAAAUAAAAAUCUGAUCCCUGUUUCCAGAUGGCUCACAGCUGCUGUAGUCCUUCAGAGAAAUUUAAGCUCAUCUAGGCCCCUCCAGGCUGUGGACUUCAGAGGAAGCAUUUUUCUUUGGGGUGGCCUUAUGGCAGUGUUUCUCAAACCUGGCUAUAUUAUUAUUAUUAUUAUUUUGAGAUGGAGUCUUACUCUGUUGCUCAGGCUGGAGUGCAGUGCGAUAGCUCACUGCAACCUCUGCCUCCCAGGUUCAAGUGAUUUUCCUGCCUCAGCCUCCCGAGUAGCUGGGACGACAGGCGUGAGCCACCACGCCUGGCUAGUUUUUUUAUUUUUAGUAGAGACGGGGUUUUCCCAUGUUGGCCAGACUGGUCUUGAACUCCUGACCUCAAGUGAUCCACCCGCCUUGGCCUCCCAAAGUGUUGGGAUUACAGGUGUGAGCCACCAUGCCUGGCCAAACCUGACUAUAUUAGAAUAACUUGAAAGCUUUUAAAUCAUCUCAAUGUUUAGGUUUCACUUCAUGCUAAUUAAAUCGGAAUCUCUGGCGGGGGUGGGCGGUGGGGAGGGAGCCAGAUUCCAAGUAUUUUAAGAUCUCUCCAGAUACAAGGUGUAGCCAGAGGGAAGAACACUGCUCUCCAGGUGUUGUAAAGUUGUAGAACCAGAAGAACAAGCCCCAGACUACAAUUGACUUGAGGGGCAGCACUGCCCGUACCCUGGAGGCCAUGGGACCACCUUGUCCAUGACUCUCUGUUUGUUGGUUUAACACCUGUUGACUGAUGAGAGCUUGAGCUAUGGGCAGGAUCCUUCAGGUGAGAGACACAGGCCUAGUGAGCUGAGGAGCUCCAGGACCCUGUGCAGAAGGGAAGUUCCUACAUUGUCUUUCUUCCUGACACCCCAUACCCUUCUUCAUUAAUGCCAAAUUUCACCCCACAGCGUUCUCAAGACUCAGAUUAAUUAUGUUCAGUUCCCCCAUACUAGCAAGGAUAGCUCAGGCUUAGGGCAGAGUGAGGUGGUGAUGGUGCAGCCUGGUCACAGUAAAUGGUCUCAAACAGCACAUUCUGAUCAACUCUGCUGUGAUGGGAGGGAAGGUCAGUAUCUUCUAUGAUAUAAUCCACUGAGAUGAUGUUUCCUGCUUUCUUUUUUUUUCUUUUUUUGGGAUGGAGUGUUGCUCUGUCACCCAGGCUGGAGUGCAGUGGUGCAAUCUUGGCUCACUGCAACCGCUGCCUCCUGGGUUCAAGCAAUUCUAGUGGCUCAACCUCCCAAGUAGCUAGGAUUACAGGCCCGCACCACCACACCCGGCUAACUUCUUAUAUUUUGUGUAGAGAUGGGGUUUCACCAUGUUGGCCAGGCUGGUCUCGAACUCCCAACCUCAGGUGAUCCACCCGCCUCGGCCUCCCAAAGUGCUGGGAUUAGAGGUUUGAGCCACCGUGCCUGGCCCCUGCUUUCUUUUAUAACUUGGCUAGAGAGGCAAAUUGAACCAUUUGCAUCAUCAUGCCAGAGAAACCAGUUUUAAGGUCUUCAUACAAGGUUCCAAAUGGUCUAUUCUAAAAGUUACUUGUGCUAGUUUUAGGUUAGAGGGUUUAAACAAAAUCAGAGUAUUAGCUUUUGUUUUGCUCAACAAAAAGGGAAAGAGAGGCAGGCAGAAAGUCAGGCAGGCUGGAAUGCCUAUUGGAAACUCCUGGAUCUGCAGGUUUCCCCUGAAAUCUGGGUGAUAAACUAACUCCUGUUGUUUUCCGUUGAUCCUAGAGAUGGUCUCGAGGACUAGAACAAAAGGUCCAAAGCAGUUUUUGCAUAGACUUGAAGUGGUAAUUAUGCUUUUGAGAGAGAAGCACAAUAGGCUCAGGCUGUGGGCUUGCCCACGUGGUGUGAGAGGGACAAGAGCACAGGCUCCCUUUGUAGUCCAUUCCUAUUGCUCUACUUAGAGCAGGUGCUCCGGGAGGCCCUGAAGGAAAUAAGCACUUGGCUAAAGCCUGGCCAGGGUAACCACACUUAUUUUUCAAACUGAGAACCCAUACCAAUCAUCUUUUCUAAUUUUGGGAGUGCAGACACGUAUGAAGCUUUUUGUGAAAAUGAUCCUGUUUAUAAUACUGCAUUUUUUUCAGAGUCAUUGGUGUAGUUAACUGAUUCAAUCAACAAGAAUUUAUUGAGAAGGAGUCUCACUCAUUUACUCCACAAACAUCUACUAAAGUUCUUCUAGGUAUAGGUUCUGUGCUGAGUGUUUAAGAGAUACAGACACAAACAUGAUUCCUACUCUACCAGAAACUUAACAGUCUAGAAGGUGAGACAGACUCUGAAGCAGCUACCCAAAUGCACUGUGGAAAAGUGCAUAGUUCCAGGCUUGGACAAACAUAUGCACUUAGGGAUCCCAGAGGAAAGGGUAAUAAACUGCCUGGGGACUAGGGAGGGCUUCGCUGAAGAGCUGAUGGCUGGGAGAGUCAAUAGAGUUUCCAUCAAAGAAAGAAACAGCAGAACCACAGGUGUGUGGGUGGGGGAUCUUACCUAAGUUUUGGGGCUGAGGGAGUGGUCGGGGAAGAGACCAGUGUAUUAAGACCUUGUGGGCCAUGCUGUGGGGUGUGAAGUUUAUCUGUCAACAGGGCCUCGGGGUUGUUUUCGGCAUGACUGCUACAGAAUCAUAUCUUGUUUCAGAAAGGCUGGCAUGCAGUGCAGAGGAAAGAUUUAGGAGUAGAUUAUAGACACAGGGAAGUUGGGAGGAGGUAAGGGUUGCUGAGCAAAGGCAGUGGCAGAGAGAGAGAGGCAAGAGAUGGGUGAGCGAAUUCAGGGGAGGUGCCCCUAAGUGAUGACAGAUUCUCUAUGGGCAUGAGGGAAAGGGAGGGAAUGGGACAAGGUCAGGUGCUCUGGCUGUGGUGGAUAGGUGGGCAAUGGUGCCAUUAGCCGAGAUAGCCUGGGAUCUUCUCAUCACUCAUCCUUUUAAAGUCUGUUUCCCAGUCCUGGCCACAUGUUAGCAUCAUUAAAGCUUCAAACACAUACCCAUAUUUGGGCCCCAUCCCCUACUAAUCGGGCUCUAUGAAGAUGAGGCUCAGGUGUUGAUGUUUAUAAAGGCUCAUGCAGCCGGGGUUGAGAACUACUGACGUGAUCCCCUAGGCAGAGAUCAUUCCUCCCUGCUCUGCAUAUGCCUUUGUCUUCCAGACCUCUGUUAUUGCUCUCCCAUGAGUAUUUAUUUAUUUAUUUAUUUAUUUAUGAGACGGAGUCUCGCUCUGCCACCCAGGCUGGAGUGCAAUGGCACCAUCUUGGCUCACUGCAACCUCCACCUCCUGUGUUCAAGAGAUUUUUCUGCCUCAGCCUCCCAAGUAGCUGGGACUACAGGUGCGCACCACCACGCCUGGCUAAUUUUCGUGUUUUUAGUAGAGAUGGGGUUUCGCCAUAUUGGCCAGGCUGGUCUCAAACUCCUGACCUCGUGACCUGCCCAGUUUGGCCUCCCAAAGUGCUGGGAUUAUAGGCAUGAGCCACUGCGUCCGGCCUCCCAUGAGUAUUUAUUAGCAGUGGAGCUCACCAAGAACAAUGACAAGAAUGGACAUUUCCAGGGAAACUGGCUGGACCUGAUCUUGGCCUUCAGGAAUUCUUUUGUAAAACCGUCAUAUCACCAGGCCCACAGAGGACAACAUUUUACAGGCAUUUCAGUCAAUUACACAGUGAUAAUUCACUGAACAAAUCCUUUGGGAUCACAGCUGCUUUAUUGAGAUCAGGUCUGUGCACAAAGAGGAGGCCCAGGGAAAACACAGUGGGGCUGUGUCAGGUGGCGUCCAGAGGGCAUGGUGCAGCUGUGGGCCUGGCUUGGGGCAGGACAUUUCUGGGAUUACAGGGCCCUGCCCCAAGCUUCUCCGUUGAGGGGGUAGGGAGGGCAAUGCAGAGAGUGAGAGGGUGCCAGGGCAGGCUAUAAGCUAAUUUGCCUCUUGAGAAGUAGGGUAAUAAUAAGGUUGGAGCAGAGAGGAAAUCUUUGUCCUAAGGCAGUGCUUCUCAAACUUUUGUGGGCCCAGGAAUCACCUUGUUAAAAUGUGGAUUUUGACUGAGCAAGUGGGAUCUGGAAUACUGUGUUUCUAACAAGUGCUGAUGUGACGCCAAUGCAUCUGGCCCAAGGAAUACGCUUAGAAUAGCAGGAUCCCAGAAUGCAUCUCUAUUUUUCUAUAUGACUUUUAGAUCAGUUGUGUAUUUAGAGAACAUAAAGUUUUUAAAAAGCUCUUUAAAAUUUUAUCCUUUUCAAGAUUGUCUCGGAAAACUUUGCAUUAUUUGAAAAGAUACUUCGAAAAUGGAAACUGAAUGAAUAGCACUGGAGUGCAGUGGCGAGGUCUCAGCUCACUGCAACCUCUACCUCCCAGGCUCAAGCCAUCCUCCCACCUCAGCCUCCCAAGUAGCUGGGACCACAGCACGUGCCAUCACACCUGGUUAAUUUUUUGUAUUUUUGGUAGAGAUGAGGUUUUGCCGUGUUGCUCAGGCUGGUCUCGAACUUCUCAGCUCAGGCAACCCACCCGCCUUGGCCUUCCGAGUGCUGGGAUUAUAGGUAUAAGCUACCUACCGCACCUGGCAAGAACAUAUAAACUAGUCUACUAUGUUCUAAUUAUAAAACUUUUUUUUAAAUUUUUUUUCCUUCCUGGGAAUUUGAGGGAUCAGGAUUGACCUUUUUUACUGGGGAAAUCACCUGUGAUUUCUGGAAAGGUGGGGAGGGCUGCUGGUCCCUUAAUGUCCCUUCUAACCAGCUUGUCAAUGCUUAGUAUUCCUUUGACAGUGGGCAGGUCUUUCAUUUUGCAACAAAGGUUUGCCUGAGGCACUAGCUCACAGACUUCAUUCAUACUAAGGUGUGAAUGACAGCAGAGGAGCUUAGGCUUUGUUGGGGUGAUAGAGAGAGAAAGAGAAAGGAAGAAAGAGAAAGACAGCUGAAGACAAAUGAGGAUGCUGGUUAGCCAGAGGAGGUGUAUAUGGUGGCACAGAAUUAUUAAGGGGAAUGAGAGUGGUGGAGGAGCAAUUAAAUAUAUCUACCUCUAACUUCCCAAUUUUUCGACUUUUCUCUUUUUUUCUUCUGCCCUGUCAUCAGCACGUUGGUUGCUCUCUCCUCCUCCACUCUGUCAUCCUCUUGCUAUUCUUUCCCUUCGGCCCUCUAACAGUUCAGUUUCAGGUGUAAAAUAUUUUGGUUCAGGAGGGACUGGAUAUCAACUAGACCUAAGAUUUUGUGAUUUACAUUCCCCGUCCUAAGAAAAGGAAUUAUGUUGAGUGAACAAUGACCAAAGCUGGACAGUUCCCCCUGGUGGUCAGCACUGCGACAACACGAUUUUCCUCUAUCUUUUAUUCAUUAAUUGGUGAAUUUGAAAAUAAUCUGUUAAGCCCCAAACAUGACAGACAUUGUGCUAAGGACAGACAUGACACCUGUCCCUGUGGGGCAGAAAGUCUGAAGAGGGAGUGUGUUACUAAACAUUGUAGAGCAUUUAGCAUUUUCAAAAGCCUUAAAAAAUAAGCCAGAAAACUUGAAAGGAAAAAGGCUUUUACCAUUUUUAAAGAAAAGCAGGUAGAAAGGUUUUGUUUCUGACAUUUUUUGUACCACUAAGUCUUCAAUUUGGGUUUAGUUCUUCAAUUUUCAUCGUAAAAUUUCCCCAAAUAAUUUUUUCUUAUAAAGUGUGAGUAUCAAAUCAGAUCAUGUGUAGUAUAAUUUUUAACUCCGAAUGUGUAACAUUCACAGUCCCUUUAUUAGCAAAAUUAUAGUAAUUAAAUAAUACUGGCUUUAUAAUUGAAUAGCACUUUGCAAAAUAAUAUGUCUGGCUCAUCUAUAUUGCUAUAGAAUACUACUGCCCCAGUGCUGUAUGCAUAUGAACUGGUUAAUCCUCACAACAGCCCUUAUAAGGUUCAGGUUAUCCUCAUUAUCCACAUUUUUAGAUGAAGAAACUGAGGCUCAGAGAGAUAAGCAAUUUGUAACCCUAGCCUUAACCACUUUGCCAUAACAAGACAGAAGAAUGCCUGCAGUAAGUGUAAAUGAACUUACUGUAUCCUCACUGCAGACAGAGGACUAAAAAGAGUAAUGGGGUUUGCAAUCUUUCUGGGUGUGUGUGUAUGAGAAUGAAGUUAUCACUUGCCUCCAGUGAUCAGGUUGUUAAGAGCACCUCAGAGGCCACUGUUGUCCUACCCUUCCUGUAAGUGGUAGAGAUGGCUAAUGAGCAUCUGUUGGUUAACUGAUUGAUGAUUUCUCAAGGCUUUUUACAGCCUUAGAAUUCUAUUAGUCACUCUACAAGAAACAGGUUGUAUGGAACGAAAGGUAAUUUAUCUUUUAAGAAUUAAGUGAAAUCCUUUAAACUCUUGUUUUUGUGCCUAAAGCUAUAUUCUGAUGGAAAUGCUCUUUCUCUAGCUAUGUCAGUGGUACAGUAAUUUAAUCUGGUUCUUGAAAUUACUCUUUAUCUCAUACAUUUAUUUAAGUAAAGAUAGCCACAUUAGAUAUGGAGAUGCUAUGAACAA
rnacentral:lncRNA from 1 species